AGGAUGAACGCUGGCGGCGUGCUUAACACAUGCAAGUCGAACGAUGAAGCCGGAGCUUGCUCUGGUGGAUUAGUGGCGAACGGGUGAGUAACACGUGAGUAACCUGCCCUUGACUCUGGGAUAAGCACUGGAAACGGUGUCUAAUACCGGAUACGAGCUUUAGCCGCAUGGCUAGGAGCUGGAAAGAAUUUCGGUCAAGGAUGGACUCGCGGCCUAUCAGGUAGUUGGUGAGGUAACGGCCCACCAAGCCUACGACGGGUAGCCGGCCUGAGAGGGUGACCGGCCACACUGGGACUGAGACACGGCCCAGACUCCUACGGAGCAGCAGUGGGAAUAUUGCACAAUGGGCGCAAGCCUGAUGCAGCAACGCCGCGUGA
rnacentral:rRNA from 1 species